rnacentral:rRNA from 1 species
UAGGGAAUCUUCGGCAAUGGACGAAAGUCUGACCGAGCAACGCCGCGUGAGUGAAGAAGGUUCUCGGAUCGUAAAACUCUGUUGUUAGAGAAGAACAAUGACGUUAGUAACUGAACGUCCCCUGACGGUAUCUAACCAGAAAGCCACGGCUAACUACGUGCCAGCAGCCGCGGUAAUACGUAGGUGGCAAGCGUUGUCCGGAUUUAUUGGGCGUAAAGCGAGCGCAGGCGGUUUCUUAAGUCUGAUGUGAAAGCCCCCGGCUCAACCGGGGAGGGUCAUUGGAAACUGGGAGACUUGAGUGCAGAAGAGGAGGGUGGAAUUCCAUGUGUAGCGGUGAAAUGCGUAGAUAUAUGAAGGAACACCAGUGGCGAAGGCGGCUCUCUGGUCUAUAACUGACGCUGAGGAUCGAAAGCGUGGGGAGCAAACAGA